UACGUAGGGUGCGAGCGUUAAUCGGAAUUACUGGGCGUAAAGCGUGCGCAGGCGGCGCGUUAAGACAGGUGUGAAAGCCCCCGAGCUUAACUUGGGAAUUGCGCUUGUGACUGGCGUGCUGGAGUGUGGCAGAGGGAGGUGGAAUUCCACGUGUAGCAGUGAAAUGCGUAGAGAUGUGGAGGAACACCGAUGGCGAAGGCAGCCUCCUGGGCCGAUACUGACGCUGAGGAGCGAAAGCGUGGGGAGCGAACAGG
rnacentral:rRNA from 1 species